AUUGAACGCUGGCGGAAUGCUUUACACAUGCAAGUCGAACGAUGAACCUUAGCUUGCUAAGGGGAUUAGUGGCGAACGGGUGAGUAAUAUAUCGGAACGUGCCUUGUAAUGGGGGAUAACUAGUCGAAAGAUUGGCUAAUACCGCGUACGCCCUGAGGGGGAAAGUAGGGGAUCUUCGGACCUUACGUUAUAAGAGCGGCCGAUAUCUGAUUAGCUAGUUGGUGGGGUAAUGGCCUACCAAGGCGACGAUCAGUAGCUGGUCUGAGAGGACGACCAGCCACACUGGAACUGAGACACGGGCCAGACUCCUACGGGAGGCAGCAGUGGGGAAUUUUGGACAAUGGGCGAAAGCCUGAUCCAGCCAUUCCGCGUGAGUGAAGAAGGCCUUCGGGUUGUAAAGCUCUUUCGCAAGGGAAGAAAACUUACAUUCUAAUAAAGUUGAGGCUGACGGUACCUUGAUAAGAUGUGCUGGCGAACUUUUGCUGGAUCCGCGGUGUACUGAGGUGUGGGAGCGUUAAUCGGAAUUACUGCGGCGUAAAGGGUGUGCAUGGUGUUGGUGAGUCAGAUGUUAAAUCCCUGAUCUUACUUGGGGACUGGCUUUGGAAAUGGCUGGACUGGAAUAA
rnacentral:rRNA from 1 species